rnacentral:rRNA from 1 species
GAAGUAAAAGUCGUAAACAAGGUUUCCGUAGGUGACCUGCGGAGGAUCAUUAUUGAAUAAACUUGGUUGGGUUGUUGCUGGCUUCUUGGAGCAUGUGCACGCCUAGCACCAUUUUUACCACCUGUGCACCUUUUGUAGACUUGGAUACCUCUCGAGGAAACUCGGUUUGAGGACUGCUGUGCGAAAGCCGGCUUUCUUUGCAUUUCCAGUCUAUGUCUUUAUAUACCCCAUAAGAAUGUAAACGAAUGUUAUUAACUGGCCUUUGUGCCUUUAAUCAAAUACAACUUUCAGCAACGGAUCUCUUGGCUCUCGCAUCGAUGAAGAACGCAGCGAAAUGCGAUAAGUAAUGUGAAUUGCAGAAUUCAGUGAAUCAUCGAAUCUUUGAACGCACCUUGCGCCCCCUGGUAUUCCGGGGAGCAUGCCUGUUUGAGUGUCAUUAAAUUCUCAACCUUUCCAGCUUUUACUAGCUUGGUCAGGCUUGGAUGGGGGGUUGCGGGCUUCUCAGAAGUCGGCUCUCCUUAAAUGUAUCAGUGAAACCUUUGUUGACUAUCUCUGGUGUGAUAAUUAUCUAUGCCGUUGAAAGUCUUCAUUAUGAGGUCUUGCUUAUAACUGUCUCUCUAAGGGGACAACUCUUGACAUUUGACCUCAAAUCAGGGCAAGAUUACCCGCUGAACUUAGCCU